GUGAGGAAUAUUCCGCAAUGGGCGAAAGCCUGACGGAGCGACGCCGCGUGGGUGAUGAAGGCCUUCGGGUCGUAAAACCCUGUCAGCGGGGAUGAUAUUGACAGUACCCGCAGAGGAAGCCCCGGCUAACUACGUGCCAGCAGCCGCGGUAAUACGUAGGGGGCAAGCGUUGUCCGGAAUCAUUGGGCGUAAAGAGCUCGUAGGCGGCGGUGUAAGUCAGAUGUUAAAGGUAUAGGCUCAACCUAUACAUGCAUUUGAUACUGCUCUGCUAGAGACUGGGAGAGGGAAACGGAAUUUCCGGUGUAGCGGUGAAAUGCGUAGAUAUCGGAAAGAACACCAGUGGCGAAAGCGGUUUCCUGGACCAGUUCUGACGCUGAGGAGCGAAAGCUAGGGGAGCAAACAGGAUUAGAAACCCCUGUAGUCC
rnacentral:rRNA from 1 species